rnacentral:rRNA from 1 species
GAUGAACGCUGGCGCCGUUCUUAACACAUGCAAGUCGAGCGAAGCGCUUUGGCGGAUCUCUUCGGAUUGAAGCCUUGGUGACUGAGCGGCGGACGGGUGAGUAACGCGUGGGUAACCUGCCUCAUACAGGGGGAUAACAGUUGGAAACGACUGCUAAUACCGCAUAAGCGCACAGUACCGCAUGGUACGGUGUGAAAAACUCCGGUGGUAUGAGAUGGACCCGCGUCUGAUUAGGUAGUUGGUGGGGUAACGGCCUACCAAGCCGACGAUCAGUAGCCGACCUGAGAGGGUGACCGGCCACAUUGGGACUGAGACACGGCCCAAACUCCUACGGGAGGCAGCAGUGGGGAAUAUUGCACAAUGGGGGAAACCCUGAUGCAGCGACGCCGCGUGAGCGAUGAAGUAUUUCGGUAUGUAAAGCUCUAUCAGCAGGGAAGAAAAUGACGGUACCUGACUAAGAAGCCCCGGCUAACUACGUGCCAGCAGCCGCGGUAAUACGUAGGGGGCAAGCGUUAUCCGGAUUUACUGGGUGUAAAGGGAGCGUAGACGGCAUGGCAAGCCAGAUGUGAAAGCCCGGGGCUCAACCCCGGGACUGCAUUUGGAACUGUCAGGCUAGAGUGUCGGAGAGGAAAGCGGAAUUCCUAGUGUAGCGGUGAAAUGCGUAGAUAUUAGGAGGAACACCAGUGGCGAAGGCGGCUUUCUGGACGAUGACUGACGUUGAGGCUCGAAAGCGUGGGGAGCAAACAGG